CUAGAUCGGAGGCACUCUGACGUGUUUCUGGUCGAAAUGUAAACGGUAAGUGGACCGCCUGGGGAGUACGCUCGCAAGGCUAAAACUCUAAGGAAUUGACGGGGGCUCACACAAGCGGUGGAGCAUGUUGCUUAAUUCGAUGCAACGCGAAGAACCUUAUCCUAGGCUUGACAUAUACGUAUGCCUACUGGGAAACCAGGUCGGCUGCCCUUCGGGGUGAAACGUAUACAGGUGCUGCAUGGCUGUCGUCAGCUCGUGUCGUGAGAUGUUGGGUUAAGUCCCGUAACGAGCGAAACCACUUGUCGUUAGUUGGCAGCGCGUCAUGGCGGGGACUCUAACGAGACUGCCGGUGUUAAACCGGAGGAAGGUGGGGAUGACGUCAAGUCCUCAUGGCCUUUAUGCCUAGGGCUGCAAACGUGCUACAAUGGCCGGUACAAAACGAAGCGAGACCGCGAGCUGGAGCAAAUCGUAAAAAACCGGCCCCAGUUCGGAUUGGAGUCUGCAACUCGACUCCAUGAAGUUGGAAUCGCUAGUAAUCGCGUAUCAGCGUGACGCGGUAAAUGUGUUCCUGAGCAUUGUACACACCGCCCGUCAAGUCAUGGAAGCCGGGAGCACUCGACGUCG
rnacentral:rRNA from 1 species